UUCUGAAUUCUUUCCCAGAGGCAGUGACAAAAAUCAAACAUCCGAUGUGUUCUUUACCUUUCAGUAAGCUCAGCCUCCCUGCUUGUGUCACAUCUCUAAACAUACGUACAUGCGUGAUUGAAACUGUCUAUUGAAAGCAAUAUUACAUUAACAUUAUCAAUACUGAAUUAGAGAAAAUAUCUAUCAAUGUCACCAAUUCCACCUGUCUCUUGAUGUAUGACUUUUUACCUGACAGGCUAAAUAACAAUAGAAAGUUCUUUUUAAAAAAUAGAAGAGUUGCUAUGCAGGGACUUUUUUGGAAUUAAGUGCCCCAGAGAACCUAGAAAUGUGCUUUAAAACUUUUUGUUUCACCUGGCAGAUCCAAAAAAAAUUUGGAAGCUUUUGGUUGAAUUCCCUCAUUACUUGAAGUUGUUUUAUGAAAAUUGAAUAUAUAUAUCUGUUAGGUUACCAAGACUUAUGGUUAGCUAUCUUAAUGGCUAGUGAUAUAAGACCUUGUAACAAACCCUACCAAUGGAACUGACAGGAUUUUACCAGGGAGGAUAUUGCAGUACCUGUAAGAGGAAGGGAUACAAAUUGGCACUUCAUACAUUUGUGAGAACAAUUGCCUUUAAUGUGUCUAUUUGGUUUUCAUAAUAUUGCAGGCCUCUGCUCUUGUAAGAAGUUAGCUGCAGAACCCACAUGUGAAUCCUUGUAGGACUCUGGAGAAGAUCAAAUGGGAGCUUAGAUGUGGAAGCUCUUUGGAAACCAAGAAACACUCUGAAAAUGAAAAGGGUAUCUUUUUUUCCUUUUCUCCCUUUACCAUAAAUUUCAUGAUGGCACUUAACAGAGCCAGUCGUUUUGGUAUUUAAAAAAUGUUUGGUGAAAUAAUUAGUUAUUGGUUGAAUGAAUGAAUUUAUAAGUGAAUACAUGAAUUAAACAAAGGUAUGGAGUAGGAAAGCACAUAAUAUGAGCAGAGAAUAAGGGAUUCUAUUUGGAAGCAUGC
rnacentral:lncRNA from 1 species